rnacentral:rRNA from 1 species
AUUGAACGCUGGCGGCAUGCUUUACACAUGCAAGUCGAACGGGGUGGGGGGCAACUUCCAUUCAGUGGCGAACGGGUGAGUAAUGCAUCGGAACGUAUCCCGUAGUGGGGGACAACGCCGCGAAAGCGGCGCUAAUACCGCAUAUGCUCUACGGAGGAAAGUGGGGGACCGCAAGGCCUCACGCUAUGGGAGCGGCCGAUGUCCGAUUAGCUAGUUGGUGGGGGAAUGGCCCACCAAGGCGACGAUCGGUAGCUGGUCUGAGAGGAUGAUCCGCCACAGUGGGACUGAGACACGGCCCAGACUCCUACGGGAGGCAGCAGUGGGGAAUUGUGGACAAUGGGGGCAACCCUGAUCCAGCCAGGCCGCGUGCGGGAAGAAGGCCUUCGGGUUGUAAACCGCUUUUAGUCGGGAAGAAAAGGCACGUCCUAAUACGGCGUGUUCUUGACGGUACCGGCGGAAUAAGCACCGGCUAACUACGUGCCAGCAGCCGCCGUAACAC